GAUGAACGCUGGCGGCGUGCCUAAUACAUGCAAGUCGAGCGGAAGGACGAGGAGCUUGCUGCUCUGAUGUUAGCCGCGGACGGGUGAGUCACACGUGUAUAACCUACCUAUCAGACUGGGAUAACUUCGGGACACCGUAGCUAAUCCCGGAUGAUCUUUUGCACCGUAUGGGUCAAAAGUGAAAUACGGUCUUGUUGGCUCUUAUAGCUGCAUCCCGGCUGCAUUAGCUAGUUGGUACGGUAACGGGCUACCGCGGCGACGAUGCAUAGCCGACCUGAGAGGGUGAUCGGCAGCACUAGAAGUUAGACGGGGACCAGACUACUACGGGAGGCAGCAGUAGGGAAUCGUACGCAAUGGGCGAAAGCCUGGCGGAGCAACGCCGCGUGAGUGAUGGAGGUCUUCGGAUCGUAAAACUCUGUUAUUAGGGAAGAACAGAUGUGUAAGUAACUGUGCACAUCUUGACGGUACCUGAUCAGAAAGCCACGGCUAACUACGUG
rnacentral:rRNA from 1 species